GGAGAGAGAGAGAGAGAGAGGUGGGUCCUAUAUUAUUUAUUUAAUUAAUAAAAUAAAUAAAUAAAUAUUAAAUUUUACGAAAAAUGAAAAAUAAAUACCCCAAGGGUAUUAUAGUCAUUUCAAUUUUUGGAGGGACUAUUUUCACAUACAAACCACUCCAAAAGGACCACCAAUCCAAAAAAGUCGUGAUUUGGACUAAAACCCCAAAAAUUUGCAUACCACAGGGACCAUUUUUGCAUUUUUGUCAAAUUGAAAUCUAAACCAAUUAUCACACAUAAUGAUUGAUGUGACUGCGGUAUUCGUGUAUUUAGAAUUUUUUUCAUGUAGAUGUAAUGACACUGUCACAAAGAAAUAUGUUAUUAAAUGACAUAUCAGGCAGAUUUAGCUGCCAGAAAUGCCACAUUUUUCUAGUAGAGUGAGAGAGCAUUGCCUUUGAGUGAGUCGUAAUUUUGCAUAACAUAUAAUUUGGAGAAAAUUCAGUAAAUGACCAAAAUUGAGGGGUUCUUCGAAAAAAAUGACAACGUAAAUGAGGAAUUUGGAAUAUGACCAAAGGUUCCGUAGAGGGGGUUCUACGGAACCAUAAACACCUAUGCGAAACCAUAAACGCUUCUGCGGAACCAUAAAAUCGCCCAAAAUUUACCCUUUCCUCCUUACUUGAACGCGGAAGGAAGCUAGGACAAUCGAUUCACGAAAGGAAGCUGCGGACGUCGGACUGUGAUCGGAGCGGACACAAAAAUGUCGCGGCGAGCUCGAUUCGUGGAGCAACUACACUUCGAUGUGUAAUCCGAUGGAUAUGGAACUCAAGUAAUAUUUCAUUUUUUUUCCUAAUCUUUGUAUAAACUCGGAAGUAGAAAUUGAUUAUAUGAAUUGGAAAUUGAUAGGUUAAAUGAUAUAUAUGUUAACAUGUAUGUUUGUUAGGGUGUAAGGACUGGAGUUUGUGAAAUAAGAUUUCGAUUUAUCCUAUUCUUUUCUUCAUGCACAGAUCUGAAGAGGUCCUCUGCUCAAGAACAAAUCCGCAGAGGAGCCCUCUGCGGAAUGAUAUAUGGCUCUGCGGGAUUGUAUUUUUUUUCCGAUUUUCUAUAAUUAUUAUCUCUUAAAAUGCACCAUUGAAUAUUGAGAUCAUUUUAUGUUGAUUAUAUGUAAAUUAAUAUUAAAAUCGAUUUCCAAUUAUUUCUAUAAUUUAAAAAAAAACAUUGAAAUUUUUAUAAUUAUUAUUAAAAUGGACAAUUUAUGUAAAUUUUAUAAUAUAUAUGGGACUAUUUCUAUAAACUUCUGUAAAUUUUUUAUAAAAAAGGACAAUUUAUUUUGAAAGAUAAUUAUUCACGUAGACCAUUGUAUAAAAAAUUAUAGAUUAAAAACAUUAUUUUUGUUGCAUAAAAUUGUUAAAAAAGAAUAUAUAAGUACAAUGCUAUAAAAAUAAAAGUACAAUGCUAUUUAAAGUUACGUUUCAAUAUUUUUUUUUUAAUUUUGGCAUAUAUGUUUAAUCUUUUGCAGCAUAGUUUGCGUGGAUGGCCUGCAAAAUGUACUUUUAAAGGGGCGUUGGAGACUGUUGAAAAAGUACAUUACAAAACUAAAUAGUAGGCGAGUUGAAUUAUUUCGAGAGACAACUUUUGGGAUCUUCAUUGGUAUGCCCACCCCGAAUGGUGACCCGAUGCUUUGCCAUUUGAUGAUGUUGCAUGAGGUUCGUGAUGUAGAGGUAGCCAAGGCUGGGAAGUUUCGGUUCAAGUUACAAGGCAGGGUGGUUGAAUAUGGUGAAACGAAAUUUUGUUUGAUUAGCGGUUUGAGAUUUGGACUGUAUGUUGAUAUAAUACAUACAAAAGUCAGCACAAGUUCAACAUUAAGGAAUCGAUUGUUCCCUAAUGUGAGAGAUGAAGAUUUACGGCUAAAAGAUUUAGAAGAUUUAAAAGAGCCAACAUUCUCGACGUGUAGCGAUGAGGAUGCGGUAAUGGUUAUGCAAAUGAUGUUUUUGUUGAGGGGUCUCAUAGGGCGAGACGACAAUAUGUACAUUCCGCCGACAGUGUAUGAGAUAGCCGAUAGUCAAUAUAAUUGGAACAAGUAUUAAAUUUAUUAUUUAUUAUUUAUUUAUAAAUACUUGAUGAUUUAUAUUAAUUAUAAUGAGUAUGACAGGUUUGCGUGAGGUACGUAUUUGUGGAGGUAUAGCGUAACACAAUUACGAUUAUGAUUUGGUAAAAUCAAUAGAUAUUUAAGAGAUAAUUAGAGUGGGGUUACACGAAGAUGAUGAAGUAUACGGUGACCGGUUUUCAGCUUCCGUUUAAGGUUAGUUUUAGGUGCAAUUACUUAUAUUUUUUAAGUGCUUAUAAGUUUGGACAAAACAUAAUUUUUUUGUCGUAAUACUAGGUAUGGAUUUUGGAGACAUUUCCAGAAGUUUUGAGGUUUGCGCAUCACAUAGAAAAUGAAAUUCCAACAAUGAGGGCAUGAAGAAUAAAAACACAAUUAUCUGUUAAGCAAUGUUUACGUAUAUUAGACGUUUCAGUAGUAUAGUUAUACAUUCCUUAUAUUAAUUAUAUAUAGUUAAAAUUACAACAAUUUUAUAUACUUACAUUUAAUUUUUUAAUUUUGCAUGAAAAUAAUAUCCCACGUGUUUUUGAACCAACGCCUGUUGAGAUCCAUUUGUCAUUCUUUGUGCGUUAUAUAAAUUGGACUCUAGACAAAGUGCAGUCGUCACUGCAACAACAGAUGCCUCCUAAGGAGCAGUCUCCAUCACCGCAACAACAGAGUCCUCCUAAACAUCGGUCUCCAUCACUUCACCCGCCUCAAGUUCAGGGAGCAUACUAAACCUCAGACUCUCAUUUUUGGGGAGCAGACUACACCUCAGCCUCUCAUUUUCAGGAAACAUACCACAUACCUCUAGAAGAUAGUAAAAUAGACAAGUUAUUGGGCGUUGUUACUCAAUUAAAAACCACAAUCGAGCACUUUGGGAAGAGAAUGGAUAAUCGGGGGAAGCAUUUUUUUGUGGUUUGGAUCCCGAGUCAGGUCAUACGUAUGUACAAACGCCAUCGCCUGUUGUUGUAGUUAAGGAUAACACAGUUACGCCGUUAAAAUGGCGGGUAAAAAUGAAAUCGAAAUUUUGUAGGAAGCCUUACACACAUGUAUAAAAUUAAGUAAUUUCUAUUUAUAUAGUAUAUAAUCGUUCCAAAUUAAAUAACAUAUUGAUUUUGUAGUUUCGUCGACGGAAUCAUUGAAGAAUAGAAAAGGGAAAAAACCACAAAAGUCCAAUAACGUUAUUAAAAAGACCAUUACUAUUAGACGGUUAUGUAGAUAGUGAUGAUGAAUUUUGGAAAUUGUGGGGAAAGAACAUGGGACCGGUAUUUUUGGAGCAUAGACUUUUAAAAAGGAUUGAGAUGAAUCGGGAAUUUUGGUCAGGUUAACUUGGUAAUGGCUCUGGAUGCUUGCUCUUCGAGGUAACACACAUCCCUUAUUUUAUAUUACAAAAAGUGUUGGAUAAUUAAUCCUACAAAAUGAUUUUGUUUUUCUAACACGCAACAUUUGGUUAUCUGGACGUCCCUGCUCAAGGAAAUAAAUCCAUUGACUGGUAGGUAGACGAUUAUUAAUCUUGAAGGCACAACUUUGGAACAUGGGAAACAACAUUAUUUGAGGUGUGUAGCAGCCGGGAUGGUUAAUGGACCACAUUGGAAGGAUAUUGACCGUGUUAGUAUAUUUAUUUAUAUAUAUCAUAUAAUAUUAAAUUUAUAUAUAUAUAUAUAUAAAGUAAACUAUUUAUAUAUCUAAUAACUUAUCGUUUUUUUAAGGUUUUAAUUCUCAUCAACAUAGUGCACAUGCAUUGGUAUUUGUCUGAUUUGGAUCUCCUUACAUGGAAAGUGAGCAUAUAUGAUUCAGCCGAAUGGUGUGAUUUCUUUAAAACAUAUGCGGGUGACGGCAGUUACAAAUCGUUGGGAGAUAGUAUAUUAAGUGAACUAUACCACAUAGCAUAUUGGGCCCAUUUUCCCAAUAGAUAUAAACCUACUAAAGUGGAAUUCAUUAAAUCUAAACAUGUGCCGCAACAAGAAAAAGUAGAAGAAGGAGAAAGAGGAGAUUGUGGAGUUUUUGUAUGCAUGUUCAUGGAAAUGCUUGCAUCGGGUGUUCUAGUGGAGACACGUCAGUCACCUAGAGAUACGAGAUUUAGUUACCGUAAUAGAAUGACAGAAAUUAUUUGGAAUAGUAGACUUUGAUUGUAAUAUGGUUAUUGUUUUAAGAAUAUUUUCUUAUGUUUUGAUUAUGUUAUUUGGAAUAGUAGACUAGUAUAGUAGAGUUAAAUUUAUAAAUUAAAUUAAAGUACAAGAUAAUACAUAUAACUCAACAAAUGUACAACAACACUAAUCAACUUAUGGGAACUGCAAUGGAUACUUAUCUUUCUCCAUUGAUAUAUAGUCGUCCCUAAUUCUUAGUUUAUCUUCAAAACGACCUUUUUGCCGCCCAAGUUCUAUCAUUUCUGCAUUGUUCUCCGCAAGCCAGUUUUUUGUCAUUUUGAUACUCUUCUUAGUCUUUUUUUAUCCAUUCUUCAUGCUCUUUGAUUUUAUAUUUAUUAAUCUGCAUCCUUUCCUCAGCCUGUUUGCACUCUUCUGCAAUGACGUCACGACAUUUAGUGAGAGCCCGAGAUGACUCUGUAUCUAUUUUUUUGUUGUUCUUCAGCCCAUUGUAAUUCUUGCAAAGUAUCAUCAGACAUAUAUUGCCCUCUGAUGUUUGUAUCAGAUAAUGAUAAAGAAGCAAAAGUGGGCAUGAUUGAAUUACAACAUCAAAAUUUGUUCGAGUUUGGACAAGUUCCUGAAAUUGAUGAUCGAAGAUGUGAGGAAAAAUCAAAUGAAGGGUGGUCGGAUGAUGAGUACACGCAACGAAAAACUGCUUUUAAUCCAUGAUAUUGUAUUCUUUCUAUUCCUGAUUGUCCAGAACCUAUUCUUGAACUUGGACCAUUUCACAGUUUAGGUCCGAAUGAUAAAUUAAUUGUCAAUCAAACAUAUAACACCAAAAAAGACCUAGCAUUUGCUGUUAAAUUCAAAGUUGUUAGAGAAAAGUUUUAGAUAAAAGGUUGAAAAAUCUUCAAAAUCUCGAUACCAGGUUGUUUGUAUGCAAAGAAACUGUCAUCAGCGUUUAUACGCAUCUCUCAUUAAAGGAACAUAAAUGUUUGAAAUUAAGAUGAUUAAUGACAAGCAUACAUGUUCUUUAUUGCUUAUACACCUAAAUGAUAGGCAAGCAAAUAGCAAAGUUUUGGGAACUAUAAUACCUGACAUUAUGGGUCAAGGAAGUUUGAGAGUUUGGAAGCCUAAUGAUAUAGUUAGAGAUAUGAAUGCUUUGCUACAAAUAAAUAUGAGUUAUUCACAAGCGUGACAUGCUAGAGAAUUUGCUUUGGGAUUGAUGAUGGGGACCCCCGAAGAAAGUUUCUCCAAACAUCCAGUUUAUUUUCACAAUCUGAAGAAACGUAAUACUGGUACUGUGGUGUACAUAAAAAAUGAUUCAGAGGACCGUUUUGAGUAUUGUUUUUUCUCUAUUGGAUGCGCGAUAAUAUAUUUUUAAAUAUAUUUGUUAUUUUCUUAAAUGUUAAUAAACAAAUUAUAUUGUUGAUAUAUUAAUGGUUUUUAUAUUGUUGUUGAAGAUACGUGCUUUCAGAGAGUGUUGUAGAAAAGUUAUUAUUAUGGAUGGUGCUCAUUUGAAGGGAAGGUACAAAGGCACCAUCUUGCAUGCAGUAGCCAUGGAUGGCAACAAUCAGAUCUUGCCUAUUGGGUAUGGAAUUUGCCCAAAAGAGACUACGGAUUCUUGGACAUUGUUUCUUGAAAAACUACAUGAAUGCAUUGGUGAUGUAGAAGGUCUGACAAUGGUCACAAAUAGGGCACCCGCAAUUGCUGUAAGUAUUCAAAAUGUUUUUCCAAAUGCUCAACACGGAUUGUGUGGUUUUCAUCUAAUAAGAAACAUAGUCCACACUGUGACAUACCCAAAAUCUCGGCCAGAAAAGACCGAUUUUCAUUUAUGCUUUUAAAUAUUUUCAGAGUAAAUCCUUUUUAUUUGAAAGAGUUGCGGAAUUUGUUCCCAAAACAAAACAUGAUAAAAUAAUAUUUAUCAAAGCAUUUCAUCAAGAGAUGCAUUUCAUUAUAUAAUCAAAACUCGGGAUGUCAUGUUCCGAUACAGACCAUAAAGCAUAAACGAUAAACAUUACAAGUCAUUCAACAAAUAUAUACAUAUACAGACUUGUAAACAAAACAACAAGAUGAUCCAUCCAUCUUACGCCCUUGUGCCACUUCCUGUAAUACAAAUAAAACUGAGUGGGUCAGGCUUGGGAGCCUGGUGAGCAUAUAGGGUUUUCAACCCACAAUAAAUAAGUUAUAUUUAAUUUCACCAACCAAUCACUAUCCCGAUUACCCAUUCCCGUUAUCCUCACUUUACGUCCCUAAAACAACUAUCUCAAGGGACCUAAUCUAGGAUUUUCAUCGGGACGGACAUCACUGCGAAGGGGUUUCCUCAACAAUAGAUAUCCUAAAGGCAACCAUGAGGGGGAUAGAGUACACCGGUGAACACAUCGUUCACAACACCUACAGGUUAUGAACCUGCUAGCGUUCCACUGGACUGUCUAGAAAGAGUCCGUGGUCGUUAUCCAUACUCCGCUGAAUAACUAGAUCAACAACAACAACAACAUCGAGGCCUCUCAUCUGUUUAUUACACACCAACUAUCUACCCAUGUUCUACCCAACAUAUUAGUAGAUAAAAAUAUAUAUUUUCAUACGUAGUUUAAAGAAAACCUGUAUAGCAUGCUUUAAUCAACACAUAUGUCACAUAACAGAUGAGGCACACACACAUAACACAUAUCUCAUAAAGAAAUAAGCAGAUCUAUAAGAUAGAAGAGAGUGAAUACUCAUUCACACAUAACACAACCAAAUAUAUACACAUAGCACGUAUUUUUAUAUAAAAUACUUCGUAUUAUUGUAUUAGAAGAAAUAACUACACACUCACUUGAUCAGAAGACGAUCCGACAGCACUACGGCUUAUAGAAGUAGUAAUCCACAGCAGAUCUGGAAGAUCUCCUCGAAAAUCGAACUUCUCGCGGGCAGAGCUUCGACUCGGGAACCGCGCUUCUCGGGAUCUUCGGGAUCUCGGGACUUGCCUCGGGGCUAGAGUAUGAUACCGGGGCUUCGGGGUAGCUUCGGCACGAAAAACGAUGCAAAAGACUAGAGAGAAGAGAAGAAAAUGAACAAGAAAUGAGGCUGCCUUCGGAUCCUUUAUAUAGAGGCUGGAACCUCGGAGUACGCGGGGCGUACAGGCGUACGCAGCGCGUACGCGUCCGAAAUCGUCAUUGCAUGCGUCAUCCGAAGUGUCGACACUAUCGGAGUUACGCGAUAGCGUAACCUCGUACGCGGGGCGUACUCCGGAUUACACCGGUGACACGGCUUCGGAUAAUGCCUCCGAUUUUGAAUUAAAUAAAAAUAUAAAAUGAUUAAUAAACUUCGGAAAUUCAUAACUUCUUCAUACGAACUCCGUUUUCGACGUUCUUUAUAUCCACGCGAAGGUGAGACCACGCUCUACGACUUUCGUUUAGACUCCGUCGGCUAAUUUUGACUUUAUUUUUAUUAAUUAUUUUUAAUAGGCCGCGACAGAAACUUUCGUUAUAAAUUCAUAACUUCUUCGUUUGACGUCCGUUCUCGCCUAACUUUUUAUCGCUUCGAUACCAACAAUGAGAUCUUCGAUUCUCAUUUAGAUUGCUUCGGCUAACAACCGCUCGAUCUCAAAUCGAGUAUAACAGGCUGUAUACCGCUAAGCCGGAACUUCGAUAAAUCAUAACUUCCUCAUACGAAGUCAGAUUUGGGCGUUCUAUAUAUAUUCGGAAACCUCGUUUCAACUACUACAACAUUAACCAAAGAUAUUAAGUUUAUUUUACACUUAAAUUUUGACGCUUAUUUUUAUUCUUAAUUAAUCAAACCACAUAAUUAAGCAAUUAAGCACAAAACACAUAAUACUCAAAUAAUACAAUCUUAUUAUUUCAAAACGGGUUACAAAGGUUAACCUAGACUAUUAUAUUGCUAAAAAUGGCAAGCCCGGAAACACAGGCGUUACAAUUCUCUCCACCUUAGAAUGAUUCCGUCCCCGGAAUCACACAUCAACAAACAAAUGCGGAUAGCGACUCAACAUGUCACUCUCCGUCUCCCAGGUGAGAUUCGGCCCAUUCGUGUGUUUCCAUCGGACAAGCACUAACCCAACCAUUUUGCGUCGCAACUUCUUAGUCUUUCGGUCAACAAUUGCCUCUGGUUCUUCAAUCAACCUUUUGUUCUCAUCAAUUCUCAAUUCAGAAAUUGGAAUUAUAUCGGGAACUUCUCCCGUGAACUUCCUCAAAUAACACACAUGAAAAGUGUUGUGAAUUCCAUUCAGUUCUUCGGGUAAUUCGAGCUUGUAAGCUUGAUUCCCAAUCCUCUGAAGGACUUUAAACGGUCCAAUAAACCUUGGACUCAACUUUCCCCUUUUACCAAAUCUUAUAAGUCCCUUCCACGGCGAGACUUUAAGCAAAACCGAAUCUCCAACCUCAAAAGUCAUCGGUCUUCGCUUCUUGUCAGCAUAGCUCUUUUGACGAUCUUGAGCUGCUAACAUUCUUUCCCUAAUUAUUUUCAACUUUUCAGCAGUUUGAUGAACCAUCUCCGGUCCCAUAAACUGCUUUUCCCCAGCCUCAAGCCAACAAGACGGCGUACGACACUUCUGUCCAUACAAAGCUUGAUAAGGUGCCAUCUUAAUGCUCGAGUGAAAACUAUUAUUAUAGGAAAAUUCUACCAACGGUAAAUGUUCAUCCCAAUUACCUAGGAAUUCCAAGGUACAUGCUCUCAGCAUAUCUUCAAGUGUUUGUAUUGUUCUUUCACUCUGACCAUCAGUCUGCGGAUGGUAAGCUGUGCUUAAACAUAACUUGGUACCCAUUUCCUCUUGUAGACUUUUCCAAAACCUUGAGGUGAAACGGCUAUCACGAUCCGAUACAAUCGUUAACGGAACACCGUGAAGCCUCACAAUUUCCUUCACGUAAGAAUUCGCAAGCUUUUCCAUAGACCAUUUCUCCCUGGCCGCUAUGAAAUGCGCACUCUUAGUGAAUCGAUCAACGACCACCCAAAUCAUGUCGUGACCAUUCUUUGUUCUGGGCAGUUUAGUGACAAAAUCCAUAGCAAUGUCUUCCCACUUACCCAUAGGCACAGGCAAAGGUUCUAAACUCCCGUACGGUUUCUGAUGUUGUGUCUUGACUCUCGCACAAGUCACACACUCGGCCACAUACUUUGCAACAUCAAGCUUCAUCGUCGGCCACCAGUAGUAGGGUUUCAGGUCCCUAUACAUUUUAGUGCUACCCGGAUGAAUCGAGUACAUGGUCUUGUGAGCUUCUUCCAUCAGAAGAUCUCUAAUUCCUCCUGACUUAGGUACCCAAAUACGAUCUUGGAAUACCUUCAGUCCAUGACCGUUAGUACCAAACACCAACGUUUUACCCAAACGUUCCUCCUUUCGGUCAUUUUUCUCAGAAGCUUCCUCUUGAGCUUUCUUUAUACUUUCCACAAUGGUCGAGACAACUUCAAUUCUCAACGCUCUUGGCCUCUUCCUUUCAAGAUUGACCUUCCGACUGAGAGCAUCAGCAACAACAUUAGCUUUACCGGGGUGGUAAAGUAUCUCGCAGUCGUAGUCUUUAAGUAAUUCUAGCCAGCGUCGUUGCCUCAUAUUCAAUUCUUUCUGAUUAAAGAGGUAUUGGAGACUCUUAUGAUCAGUGAAAAGUUUGCACUUCGUGCCAUAGAGGUAAUGCCUCCAUAUUUUCAGAGCGAAAACUACCGCUGCCAACUCCAAAUCAUGAGUCGGGUAAUUCUUUUCAUGCUCUUUCAGCUGUCGAGACGCAUAUGCUAUCACCUUUUCUCUUUGGGUCAAAACACAACCCAAUCCAACACCAGACGCAUCGCUAUAAACAGCGAAGUCUUCAACUCCAUCGGGUAGAGAAAGUAUCGGUGCCUCGCAUAGCUUCUUCUUUAACUUCUCGAAUGCUUCUUUAUGCUUCUCACUCCAAGCAUAAGUAGCUCCUUUGUGGGUCAAAGCUGUUAAUGGAGUAGCAAUCGAAGAAAAGCCUUGGAUAAACCUUCGGUAAUAUCCGGCUAAUCCUAAAAAGCUUCGAAUCUCCGUGGGACUUUUCGGUUGUUCCCACUUCGUCACAGCUUCGAUCUUCGCUGGAUCAACCAUUAUCCCUUCUUGGUUGACCACGUGACCCAAGAAUUGGACUUCACGAAUCCAAAAAUCACAUUUGGAGAACUUCGCAUAAAGCUUCUCCUUCUUCAAAACUUCUAACACUUCUCGCAAGUGUCUGCCAUGCUCCUCCUGGCUUUUCGAGUAGAUCAGAAUGUCGUCUAUGAACACUAUCACGGAUUUAUCAAGGAAAGGAUUACAAACCCUAUUCAUCAAAUCCAUGAACGCUGCUGGAGCAUUGGUUAGUCCAAACGACAUAACCAAGAACUCGUAGUGUCCAUAUCUAGUUCUGAAUGCAGUCUUCUCGAUAUCUUGCUCUCUUACUUUCAGCUGAUGAUAUCCUGACCUAAGAUCGAUCUUCGAGAAAUAGCUCGAACCUUGCAAUUGAUCAAACAGGUCAUCAAUCCUCGGCAACGGAUAUCUAUUCUUUAUUGUUGCCUUGUUCAGCUCUCUGUAAUCGAUGCACAUUCUCAUACUUCCAUCUUUCUUCUUUACAAAUAACACCGGAGCUCCCCAGGGCGAUGAACUAGGUCUAAUGAAACCUUUGUCCAAUAACUCCUGAAGUUGCAUCAUUAGCUCCUUCAUCUCCGUCGGUGCUAAUCGAUAAGGUGCUUUUGCUAUUGGCGUGGUUCCUGGUAACAAGUCUAUUCUGAACUCCACUUGUCUAUCAGGUGGUAAUCCAGGAAGAUCCUCGGGAAAUACUUCCGGAUAAUCACACACCACUGGAAUGCUCUGCAUCACCUUCUUUUCUUUCUUAGCAUCAAUCACGAAUGCUAAAUAUGAUGUACAUCCCUUGGUCAAACACUUUCUGGCUUUCAUUAGAGAAAUGAUUCCAGAAUUCACUCUGCGUUUGUCCCCAUACACCAUAAACGAAUCUUUUCCAGGCGGGUUUACUUUAACUAUCUUCUUCUUGCACAAAAUUUCGGCAUCAUUGGCGCUAAGCCAAUCCAUUCCCAAGACGAUGUCGAAACCAUUUAGUUCGAUAGGCAAUAAUUCCUCGAGAAACUUAUUCCCAUUAAGGUCGAUCAAGACGUUUUUCAUACGAUGGCUAACAGGUACAAACUUGCCACUAGCUACUUCGACUAAUAAAGCAUUAUUUAGUCUAUCAACAGGCAAAGCUAGCUUUCUACCAAACUCAUGCGAAAUAAAGGAGUAGUUGGCUCCAGAAUCAAACAAUAUAUGAGCAGGUAAUUCGUUUACGAGAAAGGUACCUGAAGCGACAUCAGCUUCAUCUUUCGCAGCCUCAAGUGUCAUCUGGAAGGCUCUCGCCUUCGGCUUUGGUGGAAUGUUGGGCCUAGCUGCCUCCUUCUUCUUCGGACAGUCUUUCAAAAUAUGCCCCUCUUCAUUACAACCAAAACACAUCCUUUUGUUGUUCGGACAUUCAUUGGCAAAAUGUCCAACCUUUCCACACUUGUAGCAGGUCACAUCCUCGCUACAUUUCCCAAAGUGCUUUUUCUUACACUUAUCACACCACUUUGCUUCGCCUCCUUUUCCUCCAAACUUUUUCGAAUCAGAUUUCGAAAAUUUGCUCUUCUUACUGGAACCAGAUGUUCCUUCAAACUUCCUUUUCUCACCAACCUCAACCUUGACGGUGGUUCUCCCCUUGAUCAUGUUCUCCACAGACUUGGCAGCCCAGAUAGCUGCCUCUAGAGUAAGUGCCUGACGUACCGGCACCUCGUACUCCCAUGGAAGUCCCUUCGCAUACCGAUCCACCUUUGUCAGCUCGUCUGGAACGAUACGCAAGGCAAACUCCAUCUUAUCGGUGAAGUUAUUGGUGUAUUCAUCAACUGACAUGCUACCCUUCGUCAAUGUCAAAAACUUAUUCUCCAACUCCAACAGAUUUUGAGCCGAGCAGAACUUGCGCUUGAACUGCACCAAGAACUCUGCCCAUGACAAUUGCAGUGGCUCAUUAGGGCUUAAGGUCUUCCCUAGAGUGUUCCACCAACGAACGGCUCCACCUCGGAAUUGUCGCACGGCAUAGAUAGUCUGCAACUUACCUCUGCAGCCACAUGUCAUAAAGGCUAACUCCAUUUCGGAGAUCCAAUCCAUAACCCCAAUCGGAUCCUCCUUUCCAUUGAAGGUCGAUGGUUUGCAAGUCAAAAAGUCCUUGUACUUGCAUCCCAUUCCAUCAUUCCUUCCUUCAUGGUUAUCUUGCCUAACUAUCGGUGGGUUGGCUGGACCAACAGACCCACUGAAGUUUCCACCUUCCGAGUGCCCUUCAUUUAAUUCAGGCUCUUCCACACGAAUCGACAGUUCUUCACGAUUUUGUUGAAGCAACCGUCUAGUUUCAUCCAUCUGACGAUCCAACAUCGUCUGAAUCAUCAAUUGCACACCAGCCAUGGUUAUUGGCUCAGGUGCUGCUGCUACGACAGGUAUUGGCUCAAUCACUGGUGGUUGAUUCCUGUUUUCGUCAGCAUUUCCAACUCCACUUCUUGUUCUCACCAUUUUGAUCUACACCCCGAAUAAGGUGAAAUUAGAUCCUCAAUCAUGAUAGAUAUUCAAAUCAUCCUUAUCACUCCGAAACGUUUACAUGCUAGUUCUAAUAUCGUAGACGUACGCUUAGAAUCCUACACACAUAAGGUUUCUAGAUCCGGUCGGCAACAGACCAUAGAUCCGAACAAAUAAUAUCAUAUAUGGCAACAUAUAACAUUUAGCACAUAAAGCAUUUUAGGCAACUUUCCUAAAAUAAACUAGUGCUCGUGUCUAAAACACAACAGACACACAUCUCAAAACUUCACUUAGCAUUCUAAGUUUAAGUCUAGAAAUCCUACAAAUUCCUAGUUCGCUUAAACUAAUGCUCUGAUACCAACUGUGACAUCCCCAAAAUCUCGGCCAGAAAAGACCGAUUUUCAUUUAUGCUUUUAAAUAUUUUCAGAGUAAAUCCUUUUGAUUUGAAAGAGUUGCGGAAUUUGUUCCCAAAAACAAAACAUGAUAAAACAUUGUUUACCGAAGCAUUUCAUAAAAGAAAUGUAUUUUCAUUAUAAUCAAAACUCGGGGUGUCAUGUUCCGAUACAGACCAAUAAGCAUAAACGAAUACAUUACAAGUCAUAUAACAAAUAUAAACAUAUGCAGACUUGUAAACAAAACAACUUGAUGGUUCAUCCAUCUCAUGCCCUUCCGCCACUACCUGUAAUACAAUUUAAAACUGAGUGGGUCAGGCUUGGGAGCCUGGUGAGCAUAUAGGGUUUUCAACCCACAAUAAAUAUCAUAUUUAAUUUUCACCAACCAACAAUAACCCAAUUACCCAUUCCCGUUAUUCUCACUUUAAUGUCCCUAAAACAACUAACAUAAGGGACCUAGUCUAAGAAUAUUUCAUCGGGGCGACAACACAUGCUUCGGGGGUACCUCAGCAAUAUAAGUCAAAUAAGGCAACCAUGAGGGGGAUGGAGUACAGCGAAUGAACACCCAAGUUCAUUAACACCUACAGGUGGCGAACCUGCUAAUGUUUCCACAAGACUGUCUAGAAUAGCCAGUGGUCGUCAUCUAAACUCCGCUAGAUGACUCAAUCAAACAACAACGAGGCCUCUCAUCUGUUUAUUACACACCAACUGUCUACCCAUGUUCUACCCAACAUAUUAGUAGAUAAAAAUAUACAUUUGUAUACAUAGUUUAAAGAAAACCUGUAUAGCAUGCUUUAAUCAACACAUAUAUCACAUAACAGAUGAGGCACACACACACAUAACACAUAUCUCAUAAAGAAAUAAGCAGAUCUAUAAGAUAGAAGAGAGUGAAUACUCAUUCACACAUAACACAACCAAAUAUAUACACAUAGCACGUAUUUUUAUAUAAAAUACUUCGUAUUAUUGUAUUAGAAGAAAUAACUACACACUCACUUGAUCAGAAGAUGAUCGGACAGCACUACGGCUUAUAGAAGUAGUAAUCCACAGCAGAUCUGGAAGAUCUUCUCGAAAAUCGAACUUCUCGCGGGCAGAGCUUCGACUCGGGAACCGCACUUUUCGGGAUCUUCGGGAUCUCGGGACUUGCCUCGGGGCUAGAGUAUGAUACCGGGACUUCGGGGUAGCUUCGGGGGUUUUUGCACAGAGCUUCGACACGAAAACGAGAGGGAAUUGGCAAAAAUACCCGGAACCCUCGCAUCCUAUUUAUAGGAGGCUGGAGCCUCGGAGUACGCGGGGCGUACUGCGUUACGCGGGGCGUACUGCCCAAAACGUCAUUGCUUACGUAUCCGAAGUGCUCGAGUGCGAGUGUCGACAUCCCUCGGAGUACGCGGGGCGUACUCGAGUACGCGGGGCGUACCUCGGAUCAGAUCGGUGACUCCUUCGGAUAAUGCUUCCGAAUUUUGAUUUAAAUAUAAAUACAAAAUGAUUAAUAAACUUCGGAAAUUCAUAACUUCUUCAUACGAACUCCGUUUUCGACGUUCUUUAUAUCCACGCGAAGGUGAGACCACGCUCUACGACUUUCGUUUAGACUCCGUCGGCUAAUUUUGACUUUAUUUUUAUUAAUUAUUUUUAAUAGGCCGGGACAGAAACUUUCGUUAUAAAUUCAUAACUUCUUCGUUUGACGUCCGUUCUCGCCUAACUUUUUAUCGUUUCGAUACCAACAACGAGAUCUUCGAUUCUCAUUUAGAUUGCUUCGGCUAAAAACCGCUCGAUCUCAAUUCGAGUAUUUCAGGCUGUAUACCGUUAAGCCGGAACUUCGAUAAAUCAUAACUUCCUCAUACGAAGUCAGAUUUGGGCGUUCUAUAUAUAUUCGGAAACCUCGUUUCAACUACUACAACAUAGAUCAAAGAUAUUAAGUUUAUUUUACACUUAAAUUUUGACGCUUAUUUUUAUUCUUAAUUAAUCAAACCACAUAAUUAAGCAAUUAAGCACAAAACACAUAAUACUCAAAUAAUACAAUCUUAUUAUUUCAAAACAGGUUACAAAGGUUAACCUAGACUAUUAUAUUGCUAAUAACGGCAAGCCCGGAAACACAGGCGUUACACACACCUUUGGAAAAAACAAAAAACAACAAUUUUGUUUUGGAAGCUGGUAAGAGCUUACAAAACCACUGAGUUUGAAUUCUAUUGGGGGAGACUUCGUAAUAUAAGAGAUGAUGUAGCGACAUAUCUCAGUCAAAUUCCACGUGAGAAAUGGACCAUAGCGUAUUGCCCUACCAUGAGGUACGAUUAUAUGAACUCAAAUAGUGUAGAGUCCAUGAAUGUUGUAUCAAAUAAAGCAAGGAAGUUGCCUAUAUUACCACUUCUUGAGUUCUUUCAUGCACUUAUGCAGAAAUGGUUUUACAAAUGGUGGAUGGUUGCAGAUAUGAUUAUGUUUAAUUUUAAAUUAUAUGAUAAAUGUCACAUAUAAUAAUAUAUGUUUGUUUUAAAAGAAAAAAGUACAAUAAUACUUACGAAGUGGGCUGAAGAUAUGGUUAAAAAAAAUAAAGAUGGGAUCCAAGGAUGGUCAGUAUCUAGUGUUGACAAUACUACAUAUCAAUUGCAUGAAUUCAAAAGUGGCGACAUAGUGAAUUUGGGGGAAAAUAUUUGUUCUUGGAAAUAUUGGUAACUAAUUGGUUUGCCAUGUAGUCAUGUGAUAAUGGUUUUAACGGACUUGAAAAAUGAUCACUGUGGGCAUAUGGCUAUAGAUGUUUAUAAAAUUGAAACAUAUCGAAGAGCAUACGAGCAGGCCGUAUACCUUCUUUUAGAACUUAGUGAUUGGGAGGUUCCAGAUGACCUUAUGGUUGUUAACCUUCUUGUGAUGGAAAUACGUCAAGCCGAUAGACCAAAAAACACCAAUCGUAUUCACUCUCAAGAUGAGGAACCAAAAAUAAGGUGUAGUAGAUGCCACAACACAACUCAUAAUGCAACAACGUGUAAGGAAAUCGUUCCAAAGAACCACAGUAAAAGUUAAAAACGUACUGGGGCGUCAGGAAGUGGGACAAAACCUACAGAAGAGGAACCGACGUAAGCAACCCAAAACCAAUGGCAACAUGAGCUAGAGAACCAAUGGACGAACAUACCGAACAACAAUGGCAGCAUUAGCCAGACAACCAAUGGACACAACAGACCGGACAUUAAUGGCAACAACAGCCAAACAACCAAUGGACACAACAGACCGAACAUCAAUGGCAGCAGGAGCCACAGAACCAAUGGACGCAAGGGAAGGAAUACCAACCGCAGGAAGAGCCACAUAACUAAUGGCCAGGUUGCACCGAGUACCAAUGGCAACAAGAGCCAGAUAACUAAUGGACGCAAGCGACAGUAAACCUAGGGACACAAGCAACAGAAAACCCAUGUCCGGAAUACAAAAACAGAUCAAAGUUUCCAUGGUUUGAUUUGAAUGAAUGAAGUUUAUUUCAAAGUAUGUUUAUUAUGAAGAUUGUAUAUUUAUGUUUUCUAAAGUAUGUUUUGUUACCUACUUAAAGUAUGUUUAUUAUUCAGAAUACCAGUGUGUGUAAUUUUAUAAAAAACAUGGAAUAUUUGUAUAAUUUUUAUUAAACACACAACUUUCCUAAAGGGUAAUUAAAUAAGAAAAAGGACUAACAAACAGCUUUGCGGAUUACCAAACAACUCUGUGGAUUCCGUAACAGUUAUGAGGAUUCCCAAAUAGUUCUACGGAAUAAAUAAUAUAAAAUCACUUUACCAUACGUAUCCUUUCAUCGAUUCUAUACCAUUUCUUCUUCAUUUCAUUUUUUUGAAAAAUUAACCCUCAUAUUUUCCCUCAUAAUGGCGUCCAUACGAUGGAGCGCUGAGGAUAACCUCCGUCUAACUCGUGCAUAUAUUAAUGUCCAUGAGACCACCAUGGUGAAUGAUCCAAGUUAUUUGACCCAUUUAACUUAUGUCUUCAACGCUGACCCUCAAACUGCCCCAGAAAACUACCGCAACACCGUUGACAUCACAUCAAAAUGGUAUGAAUCAAAAACAGAAGUCUUGGUUUCCAACAAUCUUUAUACCAAUAUUGAUGACGCACGUCCGAAUGAAGAUGAGGAAGUCAUCCUGGACGCGGCGAAAGCAGAAUACGUAUCCAUUAGUGACGGGUUAGAAUUCGAGUUUGAAUGCCCUUGGAAUCUCUUAAAAGAUCUCCUGUAUUUUUAAUUUGUAUUGCAUUUGUAGAAGCAUUUUUAAUGUAGUUUGUUUUUAUUAGGUUAUUUAUAUGCACCGGUUUGUAUUACAUUAUUUAUAUGUAUUUGAUUUGUAUUAGGUUAUUUAAAAACUAGUUGAGUUAACUUCUACUUUAUUCUGUAGAACAUAAAAUACAAAACAAUACAAAUACAUGGAAAACGUACAUCAGUAGCAAACAUAUUACAUAAAACAUUUCAGAUAAAAAACCUUUCUACAUGAAAUACUGGUGGUUCUUAACCAUAUUCCAAGUGUCCACAUACUCGAAGUCUUUUCCCUCAUGCUCGAAAAUGUAAUGAUCUAAAAUCAUUUCUACAAGAGCUUCCUCGUUUGCGUAAUAAUAAUUACUACUAUAUUUAAGAUGAUGAUACCAUCGAUUGAACCAUGUGAUUUCGUUCUUUAACUACAUCCACUUACUAAGAAUAUCUACUAGUACCCGAUAUUCUCCUUGUCCAAAUGAGAGGUUGAACAUACCUGUUAUGCGAGUCCAUUCAUCCCCUCCAAGGUAAUCAUGGGUAACCAUUGUUGUUACACCUUCAAAAAUGUUCAACCAACAUCGUAUUAUGACCAUCACCUCUCUUGUUGUCCAUGGAAGUGGAGUAUCGGAUGCCGAUGUUUCAUGUGUAGAAGUUGGUGCAUUGGAGGUCAUUUCUAUAUUUUUCAAUACAGGGUAAGUUGAUACAAUAUUUAACCGGUAUGAAAAUUUAUACACUGAUCCGUCGAGGUGUACACUGAUCCGCAGAGGUGUAUACUGAUCCGCUGAUAACAGUUCUAUGGAUUCCCAAACAGUUCUCUGGACUAAUAUUAAACAUAAGUUAAUUAUUUUUAAACUUUUUUGUCAAAUUUUUUACAUAAUAAUCACAUAGUACCUUAUGUGAUUAAAAAAAUUAAUAUUAAUAAAAUAAAACAAAAACAAAAAAAUGAAAAAAACGAAAAAAAAACCCAAGAUCCGCAGAGGUGUUCCGUUUCCUCAGAGGGUUUACUCAAUCCACAGAAAAUGCUUUGCGGAUCCAAUGGUCAGUUUCCGAUAUCAGUUUUUUCAUGGUUAUUAUUUUCAAAUGACCCAUCUUUUUUGAUCAUUUACCGAAUUUGCCUUAAAGAGAGAAUAUAUUCUUUAUAGAUAUUUGUUAUAACAACAAUCUAUAUUCGUUAUAGAUUGAUAAGUUUAUGUGACAGUAAAGUAAAUACAAUGUAGUAUUAAUAAGUUUUUUUUUUUUUUAUAACAACAAUCUAUAUUCGUUAUAGAUUGAUAAGUUUAUGUUACAGUAAAGUAAAUACAAGUAAAUAUAAUGUAGUAUUAAUAAGUUUUUUUUAUAACAACAAUCUAUAUUCGUUAUAGAUUGAUAAAUUUAUGUGACAGUAAAGUAAAUACAAUGUAGUAUUAAUAAGUUUUUUUUUAUAACAACAAUCUAUAUUCGUUAUAGAUUGAUAAGUUUAUGUUACAGUAAACUAAAUACAAGUAAAUAUAAUGGAGUAUUAAUAAGUUUUUUUUUAUAACAACAAUCUAUAUUCGUUAUAGAUUGAUAAAUUUAUGUUACAGUAAAGUAAAUACAAGGUAGUAUUAAUAAAUUUAAAGUGAUUACCUUAAGAUAAAGAUAAAGAUAACAUGUAUUUUUUUUAAUAAUAAACAACAAGACUUUAUAACAUGUGAUAUAAAGAUAAACCAGUCGUAAAACCAUCUCUAACCCAUUUUUAUUUUUUAUUUUCCAAAAAAUAGAGUUAAAAAUGGGCUAAAUAGCGUUUCAUCUCCAACCCUACUCUAUUUUUUACUUCAUUUUUACUCCAAAAAAUAUAUUCCUAUUAUAUUCUAUUCUUCUAACUUACAUAAAUUGUCAAACCCACAUCUUCUAUUAAUUUGGUUUUAACAAAUAUAUAAUCUAUAUUUUUUCAUUACAAUAAUGAUAAAUAAAUAAGAUUAUAUUUAUAACACUUAUAAGCUUUUAUAAAAUACGUUAUCGUUUUUUCAAAUUUCAAUAUGUAUUUAACUUGAAUUUGACGAAAAAAACAAACUUUAAAUUUAUAAUUAAUUAAGUUAAUUUAAUAUAUAGUAAAACAUAAUAAGCAUUAAAUAUUACAUUUAAAUUAUAAUCAAUAGGUAAAAAUAAACUAGAAAUAUAUAAAUAUAUAAACAGAGGGACCGCAAAGUUCAAUCUUAUUUUGGGAUAAAUUAAUAAUAUAAUAUUAUAUUUGGUGUAAUAUUAUUUAUAUCCCAAAAAUGAGGGAAUAAAUGGAAUAAAGUUGAAGAACGAAUGAAAAAAAAAAAUGGAAAAUAAAGAUGGGCAAAUGCUCUAAUCCUAGGUGCACAAACAUUAAUACCAUAACAAGUACGAUAAAAGGAAACAAUAUACUAACACCAACAAAAAUUCAUGACAAAAACAUAUGUAAAAGAAACUGAUAAUUAUCUGCCAAUUUUGGUUUCAUUUUUUUCUCGGGUUUUCAGUGCUCCUAACUCCUUUUUUUUUUUUUUUUUUUUUUUUUUUUUUUUUUUUUAUAUCGUCACAGCUUUAACCGUGGUUAUUCCCGAAACAAAUGUUUAUCUUUCAUUGCUCAUUUUGGUUUACUUCGGCUUAUUCGUGGCUGCAGCCUUUUCUUCUUACUUUUGUGUUAUUUCCAUUAAUUUUAGUAAAAUCAGUUUGUCUUGCCUAAUCCAGGGAAGCAAAAAUAGAGGUUUCAGCUUAAACGAGAACACAAUAUCAAGUUAACACAACCACCGAGUAAUAUAUAUUAUCAUAGAGUAAGUUUACAACAAUCUUGGCACAUCCACAUAAAACCAUUUAGUGGCAAGGGAUGCAAUCCAAGAUACACACAAACAAGCUUUAAUAUNNNNNNNNNNNNNNNNNNNNNNNNNNNNNNNNNNNNNNNNAGAGAGAGAGAGAGAGAGAGAGAGAGAGAGAGAGAGAGAGAGAGAGAGAGAGAGAGAGAGAGAGAGAGAGAGAGAGAGAGAGAGAGCAACAAGCAAGCUUGAUCUGUCAAAAAAAGAAACCCUUACGAGCAGGCUUCCUUUUAGGAUACUCCAGAAACACAGUCCCACCGUACAUUUUGGCAGCCUCGUUGCAGUUUAUGACUCUCUCAGUCCUCUUCGCAGGUAUGGAAGCAUCAUACACUUGUUGCUGAACUACGUAAGCCUGCUGGGGUUGAUACUGAUGGUGAAACAACUGAUGUUGGAUUCUACUCGGUGGAGCAGUCGCUGCUGCUGAUGGAGGCUUGGAGUAGUUACACCCACCUGAGAAAAUGUCAUCUAUGAUAGCAAACGUUUCUUCCCCAAUCUUAGCGAGGUCUGUUUUGUUCUUCGAAUUGUAUGCCAUGCAGAGGAGAAGCUAUGUACGUAUAAGAGAGUAUUGAUCAGAAAGGAAGUAUUAGCUGGUUUUGUUGUUGUGUUUGCUUUGGGGUGCACGAUAGUCGACAAGAGCCACAUAUCUUUAUAUAGAAUAGUUGAUGCAAGUUUUGCGACAGUUUGAGAUAUUUUGUUAAUUAUUUUUUAAUUUCUUACCUAAACUUAUUCGUUUCUUUGUGUGUGGAAUAAUCUUUAAUUUAUUCCUUUUGGAUCACAACAGUUGAAAAAGUGGUUCAACACCUUUUAAAUUUAUUACUAUCACAUACCCGGAAUAUAGUUUGCCCAAGCACCCCAAAAAGCGAACAUGAGAGAGAGAUGAAGAGAAAAGGUUUCAGGCCCCAUCACUCUACCUACUCUAGCUCGGUGCCCGAGCUAUUACGGUCGUGGUGUGCCUCAUCUCCAUCUCAACCACCGAACCCGUUCGGGGUACGUAUAUUGAAUAUCGCCUUAUGUGUUGCAAGUCCAUAUGUGAAAGGAGUAACAACUAUGUUAAACGACCGUAUCCCUACAUGUGUCAACUUGUUCGAGUUGUUACAUGUACACAUACACUAUAUAGAUCGACCUUGGAUGUAUGUAUAGUCUCGAUCCCUCUCUUUUGAACCGUACGUUGUACAAAGCAUACCCAUGCACCAAGAAAACACUAGUACAAAUAUGGCUUUUAGUGAGGCAAAAAGAAAAGGGUGACCAUGCAUUUUGUAGCAGGUUUUU
rnacentral:lncRNA from 1 species